rnacentral:lncRNA from 1 species
GUCCUCACCCACGGAUGAACAUGGGUAGACGAGGAAGCACAAUCAGCCCCUAUCGCGGAAAGGCGAAAAAAAAAAAGGAGGGGGCAAGUAUUCAAGUAAUAUUCCUCACCCACGGAUGAACGCGGGUAGACGAGGAAGCACAAUCAGCCCCUAUCGCAGAAAGGCGGAAAAAAGGAGGGGGCAAGUAUUCAAAUAGUAAGUCCUCACCCACGGAUGAACAUGGGUAGACGAGGAAGCACAAUCAGCCCCUAUCGCAGAAGGGCGGAAAAAAGGAGGGGGCAAGUAUUCAGGUAAUAUUCCUCACCCACGGAUGAACGCGGGUAGACGAGGAAGCACAAUCAACCCCUAUCGCAGAAAGGCGGAAAAAAGGAGGGGGCAAAUAUUCAAUUAACAGUCCUCACCCACGGAUGAACGUGGGUAGACGAGGAAGUACACUCAGCCCCUAUCGCAGAAAGGCGGAAAAAAGGAGGGGGUCGGGUACUCUCAAAACCCGCCACAGGGAAGAGAACCCAAGCAGUGCUCAAGGN